UACGGAGGGGGCUAGCGUUGUUCGGAAUUACUGGGCGUAAAGCGCGCGUAGGCGGAUCUGCAAGUCGGGGGUGAAAUCCCGAGGCUCAACCUCGGAACUGCCUUCGAUACUGCGGGUCUCGAGUCCGGGAGAGGUGAGUGGAAUUCCUAGUGUAGAGGUGAAAUUCGUAGAUAUUAGGAAGAACACCAGUGGCGAAGGCGGCUCACUGGUCCAUUACUGACGCUGAGGUGCGAAAGCGUGGGGAGCAAACAGGG
rnacentral:rRNA from 1 species